rnacentral:tRNA from 1 species
GGAGAAAUGGCCGAGGGAUUAAGGCGGCAGACUUGGGUUCUACUCACAUUUGUGGCGUGGCUUGGAUUCCCAGUUUCUUCA